CACCAAAGCAUAAAAAAGAGUGCAUACUAGCAGAGACUUAUUGACUGUAGCAGUUUCAGCAGCAGAGAGUGAUGGAGAAGUUUUGUUCAAAGUCUAUUGUGCUACUUGUCCUUCUCAUACUUGCAUUCGGUUGGGAGAUGAGUGUGGAAGCAAGAGAUGUCAGUCAUCCGUGCAAAACUGUGCGAGACUGUGGAGAUCCGAGAUACUGCAGCUGUCCUACGCCCCUCAACCUCUGUUUUUGCCAUUAUCCUCCCCAGGGUGCUACGGGAGCCAACAAGAGGAACCGAAUAAAACCUAUUAGUCCUUGAUGUGAUCCGCAAAUAUAGCACUAGUUUGCAAUAAUAAUAUUGCGACAAAUAACUUAACGUGUCUUGCGUUCAAUUGAAUAGUUGAAUAUUUCCAUA